rnacentral:rRNA from 1 species
GGGAACGUACCCUUCGGUUCGGAAUAACUCAGGGAAACUUGAGCUAAUACCGGAUACGCCCUUUUGGGGAAAGGUUUACUGCCGAAGGAUCGGCCCGCGUCUGAUUAGCUUGUUGGUGGGGUAACGGCCUACCAAGGCGACGAUCAGUAGCUGGUCUGAGAGGAUGAUCAGCCACACUGGGACUGAGACACGGCCCAGACUCCUACGGGAGGCAGCAGUGGGGAAUAUUGGACAAUGGGCGCAAGCCUGAUCCAGCCAUGCCGCGUGAGUGAUGAAGGCCUUAGGGUUGUAAAGCUCUUUUGUCCGGGACGAUAAUGACGGUACCGGAAGGAUAAGCCCCGGCUAACUUCGUGCCAGCAGCCGCGGUAAUACGAAGGGGGCUAGCGUUGCUCGGAAUCACUGGGCGUAAAGGGCGCGUAGGCGGCCGAUUAAGUCGGGGGUGAAAGCCUGUGGCUCAACCACAGAAUUGCCUUCGAUACUGGUUGGCUUGAGACCGGAAGAGGACAGCGGAACUGCGAGU